rnacentral:misc_RNA from 1 species
GAAAUGCGAUACGUAAUGUGAAUUGCAAAUUCAGUGAAUCAUCGAGUCUUUGAACGCACAUUGCGCCCCCCUGGUAUUCCGGGGGGCAUGCCUGUCCGAGCGUCAUUUCUGCCCUCAAGCACGGCUUGUGUGUUGGGCCCCGUCCUCCGAUCCCGGGGGACGGGCCCGAAAGGCAGCGGCGGCACCGCGUCCGGUCCUCGAGCGUAUGGGGCUUUGUCACCCGCUCUGUAGGCCCGGCCGGCGCUUGCCGAUCAACCCAAAUUUUUAUCCAGGUUGACCUCGGAUCAGGUAGGGAUACCCGCUGAACUUAAGC